CUAUAUUUUUAUUUUUUGUAAUGAACAAUUGCCUUUUUUAGAUUCUGAUGUGUCGGAUGCCGAAGAGAUAUUUGAGUUUUGUCCGCAAUUCAUUCAGUGCCGUGUGCCGAUUUUCAAGGUGCAUGGAAAGGAAAAGAAACUUACAAUGAUUGUGGAGAAAGGGAGCUCCCUUCCCUUUAAGAAAAUGUAAGA